CCUACGGGUGGCAGCAGUGAGGAAUAUUGGUCAAUGGGCGCAACCCUGACCCAGCCAUGCCGCGUGAAUGAUGAAUGUCCUCGGAUUGGUAAGCUUCUUUUGUCGUGACGUUGAUGCCGGUACCGUCUCCUGUAGCACUGUCCAACAUCAUGCCAGCUGCCCUGGUAACACGCAGGCUGCGAGGGUUGUACGGAAUUACUGGGCGUAAUGGGAGUUUAUGUGGUUAUGUAAGAUAGCGGUGAAAUUCCGGGGCUCAACCCCGGAACUGCCAUUAUCACUGUGUAUCUAGAGUAAUGGAGAGGUAAGCGGAAUACGCGGUGUAGAGGUGAAAUUCGUAGAUAUUGGGUAGAACACCGAUGGCGAAGGCGGCUAUCUGGCCAUUUACUGACGCUGAGGCUCGAAAGCAUGGGGAUCAAACAGGAUUAGAUACCCCAGUAGUC
rnacentral:rRNA from 1 species